GAUGAACGCUAGCUACAGGCUUAACACAUGCAAGUCGAGGGGCAGCAUGAACUUAGCUUGCUAAGUUUGAUGGCGACCGGCGCACGGGUGAGUAACACGUAUCCAACCUUCCGUUUACUCAGGGAUAGCCUUUCGAAAGAAAGAUUAAUACCUGAUAGUAUGGUGAGAUUGCAUGAUAACACCAUUAAAGAUUUAUUGGUAAACGAUGGGGAUGCGUUCCAUUAGGUAGUAGGCGGGGUAACGGCCCACCUAGCCGACGAUGGAUAGGGGUUCUGAGAGGAAGGUCCCCCACAUUGGAACUGAGACACGGUCCAAACUCCUACGGGAGGCAGCAGUGAGGAAUAUUGGUCAAUGGGCGAGAGCCUGAACCAGCCAAGUAGCGUGAAGGAUGAAGGUCCUACGGAUUGUAAACUUCUUUUAUACGGGAAUAAAGUAUCCUACGUGUAGGAUUUUGUAUGUACCGUAUGAAUAAGCAUCGGCUAACUCCGUGCCAGCAGCC
rnacentral:rRNA from 1 species